rnacentral:rRNA from 1 species
ACGGAAGGCAGCAGUGGGGAAUAUUGCACAAUGGGGGAAACCCUGAUGCAGCAACGCCGCGUGAGUGAUGAAGUAUUUCGGUAUGUAAAGCUCUAUCAGCAGGGAAGAAAAUGACGGUACCUGACUAAGAAGCCCCGGCUAACUACGUGCCAGCAGCCGCGGUAAUACGUAUGGAGCAAGCGUCAUCCGGAUUUACUGGGUGUAAAGGGAGCGUAGACGGCUUUGCAAGUCUGAAGUGAAAGCCCGGGGCUCAACCCCGGAACUGCUUUGGAAACUGUAGAGCUAGAGUACAGGAGAGGUAAGCGGAAUUCCUAGUGUAGCGGUGAAAUGCGUAGAUAUUAGGAGGAACACCAGUGGCGAAGGCGGCUUACUGGACUGUAACUGACGUUGAGGCUCGAAAGCGUGGGGAGCAAACAGGAUUAGAUACCCUGGUA